GAAGUGAACAAGAGGCAGGUAUUAUUGUACUCCAUGACGGUUGAAUAGCAGUGAUGUGAAGUGAACAAGAGGCAGGUAUUAUUGUACUCCAUGACGGUUGAAUAGCAGUGAUGUGAAGUGAACAAGAGGCAGGUAUUAUUGUACUCCAUGACGGUUGAAUAGCAGUGAUGUGAAGUGAACAAGAGGCAGGUAUUAUUGUACUCCAUGACGGUUGAAUAGCAGUGAUGUGAAGUGAACAAGAGGCAGGUAUUAUUG